GCUGGGCAUGGUGGUGCACACCUGUAAUCCCAGUGGCUCGGGAGGCUGAGGCAGGAGGAUGGCGAGUUCAAAGCCAGCCUCAGCAACAGUGAGGCGCUAAGCAACUCAGUGAGACCCUGUCUUUA
rnacentral:sRNA from 1 species